GCCGGGAGAGGAGUGGGUGUGCUUUCCAAGCCGGGCGCCUUCAUCAAGAACCAUUGGAUGAUGCUGAGGAUUCUUGGUUCACCAACGGAAGCAGUUUUGUGAGACAAGAAAACCGUAAGGCGGGAUAUGCAGUAACCACCACUGACAAGGUCAGCCACUGGAGGAGAAGUGGAAUGGACUGUUCCAAGUGCUGCUGAUGACUUUUACUGCAGUCAAGAUCACGGAACAACCAAACUGGAUUCACUGUUCAAGUGUGAAGAAGUCACCAGGAGAGCAAUGGACAUCAGAAUCCAUGGGACCAACAGUUCUGAAGUUUACUUGAUGUUUGUGACUGCACUUGUGAUAAGUAUAUUGAAUUGUGUCGCUGCCAUUGCCCCAGGCCAAUUGUACACAUUACCCAAGGACAAAGUGGCACAGACUUCCUCAACACCACUCCAGAUGGAGUGAACUGUACUUGGUAUAGAGGGAACCCACCUAAUGGUACAUACGGGGCAAGUGGUUUGUGUCAUGUGGCUUGACAGCCAAGAUUAUGGCGAAAGGGGACGAGAAUGUUACAUGCUGUGUAUACAAGGAUUGGGUAUCCCUCCGUGUGUAAAGGUUAAGAAUGCUACAGGUGUAGAACUGACAAAUGGAAUCUAUGAAUUAGGAGCAAAUUCCUCAUGGGAGACAUUAACAUGUAUGGGACACUCAGUAGGAGAGGUAAACACAAUCGCAAUACUGAGAAACACAUCGUGAGAACUGAACAGAAUCAUAGAAUCAUAGAAUUGCUCAGGUUGGAAAAGACCUUAAAGAUCAUCAAGUCCAACCGCAACCUAACCAUAUUACCUGAACUCAAACAACUCGAUGCUAAAUCAUGUCCCUGAGCACCACAUCCAAACAGUUUUUAAAUACAUCCAGGGUGCUUCCUUCUGCAACUAUGAUGUUAGCCACCUGUGUUAGCCCUCUUGCACACACUGACCAAUUACCUGAUCAGGGCCAAAUGACUGCAGAAACACACCAAUAUGAUGAGCAGUAAAAUGGCAUCUAUUCACUACUAAGCACAGCUUAUAUACCUUUACUUG